UGGACGUGGAGUCGGAGGCCGACUGGU
rnacentral:sRNA from 1 species